rnacentral:rRNA from 1 species
UACGGGGGGAGCAAGGCGUUGUUCGGAUUUACUGGGCGUAAAGGGCGCGUAGGCGGUCGUGACAAGUCACUUGUGAAAUCUCCGGGCUUAACUCGGAACGGUCAAGUGAUACUGUCGGACUAGAGUACAGAAGGGGCAACUGGAAUUCUCGGUGUAGCGGUGAAAUGCGUAGAUAUCGAGAGGAACACCUGCGGCGAAGGCGGGUUGCUGGGCUGAUACUGAGCUGAGGCGCGAAAGCCAGGGGAGCGAACGGG